rnacentral:lncRNA from 1 species
CAAAAUUCCUGAGAAUUCCCAGAAAACCCAGACAUUCCCAACAUUCCUGGAAUAUUCCGGAGCUGGGAGCCGACCCCGACGGGUGAGCCCUGCCCCUGAUUCCCAAAAAUUCCAAAAAAUUCCCAAAAAUUCCCAACAUUCCCGGAACAUUCCGGAGCCUGGAGCUGAGCCUGAUGGGUGAGAACUGCCCCUGAUUCCCAGAAUUCCCAAAAAUUCCCAAAAAUUCCCAACAUUCCUCGAACAUUCCGGAGCCCGGAGCCGAGGCUGACGGGUGAGAACUGCCCUUGAUUCCCAGAAUUCCCAAAAAUUCCCAAAAAUUCCCAACAUUCCCGGAACUUCUCAGAGCUGAGCCUGACGGGUGAGAACUGCCCCCCCAUCCCGGAAUUCCCAAAAAUUCCCCAAAAUUCCCAAAAAUUCCCGGAACUUCCCAGAGCUGAGCCUGAUGGGUGAGCCCCGCCCCUGAUUCCCAAAAAUUCCCAAAAAUUCCCUAAAAUUCCCCAGAAUUCCAACAAAUCCAAAACAAUUUUUCAAAGCUGGAAAAUUCCCAGAAUUUUCCCCUAAAAAUUCCCAAAAUUCCUGAAAUUCCCAGAAUUCCAAGAAUUCACAAAAUUCUCACAAUUUGCAGAUCCAGAAGUUCUGGAAUUCUGACAAUUCUCAAAUUUCCCAGUUCCAAAAUUCCUGGAAUUUCCAGAAUUCCCAGAAUUCUGAGAAUUCCCAGAACUGGAAUUCCAGGAAUUGUGACAAUUCCCAAAAUUCCCAAAACUCAAAAUUCUGAGAAUUCCCAAAUUUCCCCGAGCAGGAAUCCCCAGAAUCCCCAAAAUUCCCAAAAUUCCCAAAAUUCCGGAGCCGCCGAUUCCCAGAAUUCCCGGCAGCUGCAGGAGAGCAAAUUCCAGGAGGCCGUCAUCAAAACCAUCGGUGAGAAUUCCAUAUUUUUAUGGGAUUUUUGGGGGUUUUGUGGGAUUUUCCCAUCAUUCCCAUUAUUUGCACUCCUGUUAUUCCCCCUAUUCCCAUCAUUCCCAUUCCCAUUAUU